rnacentral:rRNA from 1 species
ACAGUGGACGCGAGCAUCUGUGGCCAAGUUUUUAAGGGCGCACGGUGGAUGCCUUGGCACCAGGAACCGAUGAAGGACGUGGGAGGCCACGAUAGUCCCCGGGGAGCCGUCAACCAGGCUUUGAUCCGGGGGUUUCCGAAUGGGGAAACCCGGCAGUCGUCAUGGGCUGUCACCCAUGCCUGAACACAUAGGGCAUGUGGAGGGAACGAGGGGAAGUGAAACAUCUCAGUACCCUCAGGAAGAGAAAACAACCGUGAUUCCGGGAGUAGUGGCGAGCGAAACCGGAUGAGGCCAAACCGUAUGCGUGUGAUACCCGGCAGGGGUUGCGCAUGCGGGGUUGUGGGAUCUCUCUUUCACAGUCUGCCGGCUGUGAGGCGAGUCAGAAACCGUUGAUGUAGGCGAAGGACAUGCGAAAGGUCCGGCGUAGAGGGUAAGACCCCCGUAGCUGAAACAUUGACGGCUCGUUUGAGAGACACCCAAGUAGCACGGGGCCCGAGAAAUC